rnacentral:lncRNA from 1 species
AGCCAGUUAUGAAAUCUCAUUUGUAUGUGACUGUCAUAUUGAUUUGUAAUCAAACAGGUCACAUUGCAAUCAACUCGUAAAAACUUUAAAUGGAGUGCCUCCUGCAGACUUGAGGUGGCUCUCUUGCACCAUUAAUAGCAAUAUAUUGUGUUUUGUAAGGAGAACCAACUCCAUGUCCAACCAAGGUUACCGCAGAGCAGGACUGCUGGGUUGCCAAAUUAUCAUAUGGAUUUCAAAUGGACUGUCUUAAUCAUCUUGUGACAAGCUGUGACUCAGGACUGCAGGUUUUCGUUUAUGUUCCUUACGCCAUGAUAUGUCACAGAUCAAAUACAAGGCGUCCGCCAGAUCAGGACCACACAAGUGAGAAGGCCCGAUGGGGACUGCGAGCGCACCAGGGGAGCUGGGAGCCAGAGACGCAGAGCAGCAGCAACAGCACUCUGAAACCAGACAUUCUUCCGUCUCCUGGUAGCACUGGGGCAGCACUGCAUAGGUUUUAGGAGAAAGGAGAAGUUGUUCAAUUCAGAAUGCUGGAUUAGAAUAAUUUAAUAGAAACAUUUCAUAGCAAAUGUGUAAAGCUAUGGAGUAAGUAGGAGUAAUGGCAAAUAGCAGAAAAAGAGCAAACAGGGCUGAGAGAGGUGGACACAGAACAUUUUGUGGAACAGGCUCUUACCUGGCAGUUACACCACUGUUCCGGAUGCUAUCGUCGGUCCCCCCUCUAUGUGUGUCCGGCAGUAGUGGAUUAUAUUAUAUAUAAUCCUGGUGCCUCUCUCUUCUCUCUCUCUCUCUCUCAUCUCUCUCUCUCUCCUCUCGCUCUCUCUCUCUCUCUCUCUCUCCUCUGUCUCUCUCUCUCUCUCUAUCAGUACUUGUCACUAAUGCACUGGGCUCUCUGUCCAGCAAUGCAGUCUAUUACUGAUCGCUGAGCUACAUGGUUUGCUGUGUACUGUUUAAUCACCCACUUUCCAUCUGUAUAAUUACCCCUCCCUCCUAUUCUUUCCACUCUGAUUUGUGAUUACCCUCAUGACAUGGACUCCAUACUUGAGUUUGCUUUCAUCUGUCUCCCUAACAGUCCUUCACCUCUGCUCCUGUUGUGAGUGCCAACAUACCCCCUCACAGCUUUAGAUGCUGACCAGAGCCCUGCUUGCUCAUUAAAUGCAAGAUCAUGAAGAAAAAAGUGUGUGCUCUUACAUGUCACAGUUUUAACACCUUUUAACCAUACGUAGUUGUUUGUGAAUUCAGGUUAUUGUGUCGCUUCUGAGUUUUGAUGUACACCCCCUCUUUAAUCUGAUGUACUAAAACAAUAUGUAGUAUAGUUUCAAUAUAGCCAAUGAAUGUGCAG